rnacentral:rRNA from 1 species
UACGUAGGGGGCGAGCGUUGUCCGGAAUCAUUGGGCGUAAAGCGCGUGUAGGCGGCCCGGUAAGUCCGCUGUGAAAGUCCAGGGCUCAACCCUGGGAUGCCGGUGGAUACUGUCGGGCUCGAGUCCGGAAGAGGCGAGUGGAAUUCCUGGUGUAGCGGUGAAAUGCGCAGAUAUCAGGAGGAACACCAAUGGCGAAGGCACGCGCGUGGGACGUGACUGACGCUGAGACGCGAAAGCGUGGGGAGCAAACAGG